rnacentral:rRNA from 1 species
UAGGGAAUCUUCCGCAAUGGGCGAAAGCCUGACGGAGCAACGCCGCGUGAGUGAUGAAGGUCUUCGGAUCGUAAAACUCUGUUAUUAGGGAAGAACAAAUGUGUAAGUAACUAUGCACGUCUUGACGGUACCUAAUCAGAAAGCCACGGCUAACUACGUGCCAGCAACCGCGGUAAUACGUAGGUGGCAAGCGUUAUCCGGAAUUAUUGGGCGUAAAGCGCGCGUAGGCGGUUUUUUAAGUCUGAUGUGAAAGCCCACGGCUCAACCGUGGAGGGUCAUUGGAAACUGGAAAACUUGGAUGCAGAAGGGGAGAGUGGAAAUCCAUGUGUGAGGGUGAAAUGCGGAAAGAUAUGGGGGAACACCAGUGGCGAAGGCGACUUUCUGGUCUGUAACUGACGCUGAUGUGCGAAAGCGUGGGGAUCAAACAGG